UUCUUGCUUGUUUCCAAAGGUGAAGUAUGGUAUCUCAAUUCUCUGAAUCUUUUGAGGUCUUUGUAUAUUAUUGUUUCUGGGAUCCAAUUGAUUAGGAUUGGAGACAUUGCUGAUUUCUUUUCCUUUAUUUGCUUCCAUGGUACCAAUUUCAGAGAGAAGAAUAUAGAGAAAAAUGAAAUCUAGAAGAAACCAAGAAGGUUUCUGUAGGGUAACAGACAAAAGCACAGAGAAAAAGAAAAGGUGAAUACAUUAUGAUAAAGAAAUCAAUAAUUCUUGUAGAGUACAACUGAAAGAAAGAGACACAUAUAAGAACCCAGGAGAUAAAAGAUUCUAGCACCAGGUGGACCCAAACAGAAGCAAAGGAAAAACCUCAAAAAUCAAGAAGAGAAGAUUAAUCUUGGGUCAAGGUGAAGAAAAGGCAAAAAGGAAAGCCAAAGAAUAAACUCAAAGGAACCUGAUUCGAUUGGAAAUUGAGAUGUAAACAGGGGAUAAAACUCUGAGUAUUAGAACCCAGGUAUUAAUAUAAAGUGAUUGACAACAAAGAAUCAGAACAAAAAGAAACCAAAGAAAAAUAAAGAAGACGCACAAAGUGCAAACUAAAGGUACCAACUAUCCAGAAUCUGUCUUUCAACUAGAUUAAGGAAGGAUAACAAAGUAAGAGAAGAGGAAAGAGGUGUGGAGAGAGUUCAAGGAGGCAUCAAUUCUGUCAACUAAAUUUGAAACCGUACUUUUUUCUUAAAUUAAGUGUAACAUCUAUACUAAAUUUAUCUAGAAUAUUUAGCAUGCGCAAUAAACUUAGUAUUUGAUACAUUAAAAUUACAACAUAGAUAAAAUUCUCUGAACAAAAUAUAGGAUUACUCGUCUUAUACAUAUGGUAAGGAUUUGAAUGAAGAAUGGAGGAACGGGUG
rnacentral:lncRNA from 1 species